CAGCAGCCGCGGGAAUACGAAGGGGGCUAGCGUUGCUCGGAAUGACUGGGCGUAAAGGGCGCGUAGGCGGCGGCCAAAGUCAGGCGUGAAAUUCCCGGGCUCAACCUGGGGGCUGCGUUUGAUACUUGGUUGCUUGAGUGGGGAAGAGGGUCGUGGAAUUCCCAGUGUAGAGGUGAAAUUCGUAGAUAUUGGGAAGAACACCGGUGGCGAAGGCGGCGACCUGGUCCUUUACUGACGCUGAGGCGCGAAAGCGUGGGGAGCAAACAGGAUUAGAUACCCGCGUAGUCUCUGUCUCUUAUAC
rnacentral:rRNA from 1 species